rnacentral:rRNA from 1 species
GAUGAACGCUGGCGGCGUGCCUAAUACAUGCAAGUCGAGCGAACAGACGAGGAGCUUGCUCCUCUGACGUUAGCGGCGGACGGGUGAGUAACACGUGGAUAACCUACCUAUAAGACUGGGAUACUUUUGGGAAACCGGAGCUAAUACCGGAUAAUUUAUUGAACGGCAUGGUUCACUAGUGAAAGUCGGUUUUUCGGUCAGUAAAAGCCGAACCCGGGCCGCUUUAGUUAGUGGGUAAGGUAACGGGUUACCAAGGCUAGGAUGGUUACACGGCCUGAGAGGGUGAUCGGCCACACUGGAACUGAGACACGGCCCAGACUCCUACGGGGGGCAGCAGUAGGGAAUCUUCCGCAAUGGGCGAAAGCCUGACGGAGCAACGCCGCGUGAGUGAUGAAGGUCUUCGGAUCGUAAAACUCUGUUAUUAGGGAAGAACAAAUGUGUAAGUAACUAUGCACGUCUUGACGGUACCUAAUCAGAAAGCCACGGCUAACUACGUG